rnacentral:rRNA from 1 species
AGUGAACGCUGGCGGUAGGCCUAACACAUGCAAGUCGAACGGCAGCACAGGAGAGCUUGCUCUCUGGGUGGCGAGUGGCGGACGGGUGAGGAAUACAUCGGAAUCUACUUUUUCGUGGGGGAUAACGUAGGGAAACUUACGCUAAUACCGCAUACGACCUACGGGUGAAAGCAGGGGACCUUCGGGCCUUGCGUGAUUGAAUGAGCCGAUGUCGGAUUAGCUAGUUGGCGGGGUAAAGGCCCACCAAGGCGACGAUCCGUAGCUGGUCUGAGAGGAUGAUCAGCCACACUGGAACUGAGACACGGUCCAGACUCCUACGGGAGGCAGCAGUGGGGAAUAUUGGACAACGGGCGCAAGCCUGAUCCAGCCAUACCGCGUGGGUGAAGAAGGCCUUCGGGUUGUAAAGCCCUUUUGUUGGGAAAGAAAUCCAGCUGGCUAAUACCCGGUUGGGAUGACGGUACCCAAAGAAUAAGCACCGGCUAACUUCGUGCCAGCAGCCGCGGUAA